GAUGAAGAACGCAGCAAAAUGCGAUAAGUAAUGUGAAUUGCAGAAUUCAGUGAAUCAUCGAAUCUUUGAACGCACAUUGCGCCCGCCAGUAUUCUGGCGGGCAUGCCUGUUCGAGCGUCAUUUCAACCCUCAAGCUCAGCUUGGUGUUGGGACUCGCGGUAACCCGCGUUCCCCAAAUUGAUUGGCGGUCACGUCGAGCUUCCAUAGCGUAGUAAUCAUACACCUCGUUACUGGUAAUCGUCGCGGCCACGCCGUAAAACCCCAACUUCUGAAUGUUGACCUCGGAUCAGGUAGGAAUACCCGCUGAACUUAAGCAUAUCAAUAAGCGGAGGA
rnacentral:misc_RNA from 1 species